rnacentral:rRNA from 1 species
GAUGAACGCUGGCGGCGUGCCUAAUACAUGCAAGUCGAGCGAACAGACGAGGAGCUUGCUCCUCUGACGUUAGCGGCGGACGGGUGAGUAACACGUGGAUAACCUACCUAUAAGACUGGGAUAACUUCGGGAAACCGGAGCUAAUACCGGAUAAUAUAUUGAACCGCAUGGUUCAAUAGUGAAAGACGGUUUUGCUGUCACUUAUAGAUGGAUCCGCGCCGCAUUAGCUAGUUGGUAAGGUAACGGCUUACCAAGGCAACGAUGCGUAGCCGACCUGAGAGGUUGAUCGGCCACGCUGGAACUGAGACACGGUCCAGACUCCUACGGGAGGCAGCAGUAGGGAAUCUUCCGCAAAGGGCGAAAGCCUGACGGAGCAACGCCGCGUGAGUGAUGAAGGUCUUCGGAUCGUAAAACUCUGUUAUUAGGGAAGAACAAAUGUGUAAGUAACUAUGCACGUCUUGACGGUACCUAAUCAGAAAGCCACGGCUAACUACGUG